rnacentral:misc_RNA from 1 species
CAACAACUACAGUCCGCUGAAACAGCAUGAAGUACAAGUUAAAUCAUGUAGUAACUGGUAGCCUACUUUAAUCUGAUAAUGACCAACGGUUAAGCCAUAAAAGAGUAAAAUAGACCAAACCCACUAUUUGGCACUAUAAGCCCAUAAAUCCGAGAAUAACAAUACGCAGAAAUUUUCUCUUUCGUGCGUGAAAUUUAACAAAGUGCAUAUCUUAACCCAGUCCGCA